ACAUUCCGAGGUAAAACACUGAGCGGCCCAAUAAUCGCUCAGGCAGCCAAUCAACAAGAAGGAAGGUGGUCGCCAGUUGGUCACUCAAGUUUAGAUGGACCGUACUAAGGCCCAAUCCCCAAGGUAGCCUAAAUGGUGUUCGCCGAAAAAAUAAGAGUGACCACGACUCCACCUCCCUUAGUCUGAGAAGUAUCAGUUGCCUUGUACUCUAAAUCCCGCUCGCGGAAAGAGAAGAAAUGGCGCCACCCGUGGAAAGUACAGUAACAGCAGGGGAAUAUUUCCCGGCCGAGUCCUUCAAUGUGACAUAACAUCAUCCUGCGGAGGAGGGAGAUGGGCAUCUACGUAUAGGACUAUAGGCAUAUCAAGUAUAGAUGGACCAAGUUCCCAAGAUAUAAAAUUUCAGGAAUAAAUAGAAAAUGAAUCAUUACCAUUAAACUCCAUGAUAUAGGAUGGUAAAUAAGCAGAGCGCAAUGCUGACAUUCAUUGAAUUGUUCUCUGUUGAGCCAUGCCAACUUGUCAGCAGUCUAAAAAAACAGCAUUUUCAUUUCAGAUUCAGUGAU